UCGGAGGUAUGGGAUCAGAGAUUUGAGUAUCACGGUUGACCCCCAUACUAAAACGAUUGAAAUCAGAUAGAAGACUGUUUUGUAUGAUGGCCUGCGUGAGGAGGCUCAGGCGUCAAUCCAAAUCAAAUGGUUUUGAUCUUGUUGAAUGUCGAUUCAAAGAGCUCAAACCUAUCCUUGAGGCAGAGCAGAAGGCGGAAGAGGCAGAGAUACCUGAAAAGAGUGGAGAAUGUAGCUAGCUUGGUGGAAGCGGCCAUCGGUGACGAGAUCUUACAUCAGGACAAUUUACUGAUCAACAAACUUCUUGCUUCAUCAUCAAUGGAGACUUGCUCAUCUUCCUGAACUGAAUUUUAAUCUCGGAUAGUUCAUCUUCCUGGUAUAUCAAGUGUGUUUAGUCUUCUGACCUUCCAAUUUUAGGUAAGUUCUUCAUCAAUUUUUUGGUCCUUCUCUCAUAUAUGUAUCUUUUUUUCUUCUUACUCAUAUAGCUAUUUGUUAGAAAUUAUGAUUUCAAGGAAGUUGGCUUGAGACACCGAUGUGCUUUGUGAAGUUCAUAUAGGCAGUGAUUUUUAGGGGUGAUCCUUGAUGACUAGUCGUUCAUUCUGAGAUUUCUGCAUUGCUUUAUGUUAUCUGCAUUUUGUUUCUAUCUAAGAGAAUGUAGUCGACAUUUUGCCAAUGUAUUAUGACUAAGAAGUUUCCAUUCUAACCGUUUAUCUCACAUG